rnacentral:rRNA from 1 species
UACGUAGGGCGCAAGCGUUGUCCGGAAUUAUUGGGCGUAAGAGCUCGUAGGCGGUUUGUCGCGUCUGCUGUGAAAACCUAAGGCUCAACCUUGGGCUUGCAGUGGGUACGGGCAGACUAGAGUGCGGUAGGGGUGACUGGAAUUCCUGGGUGUAGCGGUGGAAUGCGCAGAUAUCAGGAGGAACACCGAUGGCGAAGGCAGGUCAC